CUGCAAAAAUUCUAGAUAUUCUGAUUUUGUAAUAUUCAGGGCAGUCUAACCAUUUGCUUUAAUAAGACCACACAUUUGUCCCCAGACCUAGGUCUUUACUUACCUAAGUCUGGUCUUAGAAAUGCUGGUGAUAAAU